rnacentral:rRNA from 1 species
AACGAACGCUGGCGGCAUGCCUAACACAUGCAAGUCGAACGAGACCUUCGGGUCUAGUGGCGCACGGGUGCGUAACGCGUGGGAACCUGCCCUUAGGUUCGGAAUAACUCCCCGAAAGGGGUGCUAAUACCGGAUAAUGUCUUCGGACCAAAGAUUUAUCGCCUUUGGAUGGGCCCGCGUUGGAUUAGCUAGUUGGUAGGGUAAAAGCCUACCAAGGCGACGAUCCAUAGCUGGUCUGAGAGGAUGAUCAGCCACACUGGGACUGAGACACGGCCCAGACUCCUACGGGAGCAAGCAGUGGGGAAUAUUGGACAUGGGGCGAAGGCCUGAUCAAGAAUUGCCGCGUGAGGGAUGAAGGCUUUAGGUUUGUAAAGCCCUUUUACCCGGAUUAUUAAUGAAAGUACCGGAAGAUUAAGUCCCGGUUACUCCGUG